rnacentral:sRNA from 1 species
UGUGUCUUAAUUAUUAAAUUAUUUCUAUAAGGUUUUUGUUUCAAUAGAAAAUCCAUCCAUUACAAAGCAUAUGUGAUGUCAGGUAGCCAAUGUAAAGUAUGUGUGUGUUUACUAAUCUUAUAAUUCUACUUAUUCAUACAAUUAGUUCUUUCAAAAUCAAUAAAUUCUUGCCUAUUAAUGAUAUACAUGUAUAAUUUUUCUCUUAUGUCCUAUUAACGAAAUUUCAAGGAAAUGGUUGGACCUCUACAUGUGCCUUUUAAUUUUUGUGCCAAAUGUUUUUUCUUGUACUAGAUACAGCAAAAUUUUAAACAUGUAGUGGGUAAUGAUUUCAGUGAAUUUGUAAACUGUACUGAGGAAGUACUAGUGUUAGAAGGUCCCUUUCUUUGUCAAUAUUGUCUUUCUACAAUAAACCAGAUUUUCC